UAGUUGGUGAGGUAAUGGCUCACCAAGGCUUUGACGGGUAGCUGGUCUGAGAGGACGACCAGUCACACUGGAACUGAGACACGGUCCAGACACCUACGGGUGGCAGCAGUCGAGAAUUUUUCUCAAUGGGGGAAACCCUGAAGGAGCGACGCCGCGUGGAGGAUGAAGGUCUUCGGGUUGUAAACUCCUGUCAUUUGGGAACAAGUCGUACGUCGUAACUAUACGUGCGUUGAUAGUACCAGAAGAGGAAGGGACGGCUAACUCUGUGCCAGCAGCCGCGGUAAUACAGAGGUCCCAAGCGUUGUUCGGAUUCAUUGGGCGUAAAGGGUGUGUAGGUGGCGCCGUAAGUCGGGUGUGAAAUUUCGGAGCUUAACUCCGAAACUGCAUUCGAUACUGCGGUGCUUGAGGACUGGAGAGGAGACUGGAAUUCAUGGUGUAGCAGUGAAAUGCGUAGAGAUCAUGAGGAAGACCAGUGGCGAAGGCGGGUCUCUGGACAGUUCCUGACACUGAGACACGAAGGCCAGGGGAGCAAACGGGAUUAGAUACCCCGGUAGUCCUGGCAGUAAACGGUGCACGUUUGGUGUGGGAGGAUUCGACCCCUUCUGCGCCGGAGCUAACGCGUUAAACGUGCCGCCUGGGGAGUACGGUCGCAAGAUUAAAACUCAAAGGAAUUGACG
rnacentral:rRNA from 1 species